UACGGAGGGGGCAAGCGUUGUCCGGAAUCAUUGGGCGUAAAGAGCGUGUAGGCGGCCCGGUAAGUCCGCUGUGAAAGUCCAGGGCUCAACCCUGGGAUGCCGGUGGAUACUGUCGGGCUCGAGUCCGGAAGAGGAGUGUGGAAUUCCUGGUGUAGCGGUGAAAUGCGCAGAUAUCAGGAGGAACACCGGUGGCGAAGGCGGGUCUCUGGGCCGAUAUUGACGCUGAGGAGCGAAAGCGUGGGGAGCGAACAGG
rnacentral:rRNA from 1 species